UACGGGGGGGGCAAGCGUUGUUCGGAAUUACUGGGCGUAAAGGGCUCGUAGGCGGCCAACUAAGUCAGACGUGAAAUCCCUCGGCUUAACCGGGGAACUGCGUCUGAUACUGGAUGGCUUGAGGUUGGGAGAGGGAUGCGGAAUUCCAGGUGUAGCGGUGAAAUGCGUAGAUAUCUGGAGGAACACCGGUGGCGAAGGCGGCAGCCUGGACCAAUUCUGACGCUGAGGAGCGAAAGCCAGGGGGGCAAACGGG
rnacentral:rRNA from 1 species